rnacentral:rRNA from 1 species
GAUGAACGCUGGCGGCGUGCCUAAUACAUGCAAGUCGAGCGAACAGACGAGGAGCUUGCUCCUUCGACGUUAGCGGCGGACGGGUGAGUAACACGUAGGUAACCUACCUAUAAGACUGGGAUAACUUCGGGAAACCGGAGCUAAUACCGGAUAAUAUUUCGAACCGCAUGGUUCGAUAGUGAAAGAUGGCUUUGCUAUCACUUAUAGAUGGACCUGCGCCGUAUUAGCUAGUUGGUAAGGUAACGGCUUACCAAGGCAACGAUACGCAGCCGACCUGAGAGGGUGAUCGGCCACACUGGAACUGAGACACGGUCCAGACUCCUACGGGAGGCAGCAGUAGGGAAUCUUCCGCAAAGGGCGAAAGCCUGACGGAGCAACGCCGCGUGAGUGAUGAAGGUCUUCGGAUCGUAAAACUCUGUUAUUAGGGAAGAACAAACGUGUAAGUAACUGUGCACGUCUUGACGGUACCUAAUCAGAAAGCCACGGCUAACUACGUG